GAUGAGUGCCAUCGUUACGAUAUUAUUAUAUUUAUUCCUAUAAGCCACCUAAUAAGUAUGCAACCAGUUAUGCGUUCGUGCUUAGAACGGGUUACCUAGAUUUGUGACCAAAUAUAAUAGAAGGUUGGUACUACGCUUGGGGAAUUCUGGUCUUAGCUUGUGGCUGUACGGCUUCCGACGGAGGGGCAUGUCAUAUCGCCCAUCGGAGAGGAUUGUCACUUCAAUUUUCAAUCUGGUUGGAUGAACAAGUAAAUUUUUCCGUGGUCACUGUUUAAAGAAUACAAUAUUUAGUUAAAAUAUUCAUUUAUUAUAAGAUUGGUUUAUUUUGGAAGGAGCUAUUUUUUGUUUUGGAUUUGUGCGGUGAGAGGAAGAGUUUUAUUUCCAAGUUUCCUUUUGGAAAACAGUGGGUAAGUCGGCUAUUAAGUAUUCUUGUAAAAAAAAAACAUGGUUCUCAUUCUCAAUACAAUACUUAUAGUAAUAUUAUAAUUGUUAUUCUAUGAAUAUAAAACAUCAGGUCUUAACGAGUCAAUCUCACUAUCAAAUUCAUGUUUCUACAAGAAAAAUUCUUUCAAAUUAAAUUUCCAGUUCAAAAUAGUUUCUGAAGUAAUGACACUUUUCAUUUCCUUUUAGUAUCUACGUCUAUAAAGUAAUCCCUUAUUGCAAUAUAUACAUAUCUUCUUGGUUCAUAUGUCCUUCCAUUUCUUUACAUUUCCAUUUUUGUUCAAGGUUAAUGACACUUACUUAUAAAUGUCAAUAGCUCCUCUUUUUUCGGUAAUUUUUUCUAGAAAUUUUUAUAAGGUUUUUAUACCUUUCUUAUAUGCCCUGUUUUUGUGUACUUAAGGAACACCAGCUAAUAGGAGAUUCUUAUGCUUUUAGCCACGGAAGAAAAUAAGAAGAUGGAAAAUUAAGUCAAUCAUACUUUAAUUUGUUUUUUGGAAUACAUAAUCAUUUUGGGGAUAUUUUGGAUGGAAUGUGGAUGUUUUGUUUGGUUUUUGUGGAAUAAAAGUUGAGUUUUCCGAUACUGGGCAGCUACCUGCUUGCCGUACCUUCCUGUUGGUGUGGAGUACCUCCCUAGGGUUGGGAACCAGAGGAUACCUUACUUGGCUCUCCCCUCAUCAUCUUCACCGAAGCCACGGAAGAAAAUAAGAAGAUGGAAAAUUAAGUCAAUCAUACUUUAAUUUGUUUUUUUUUGGAAUACAUAAUCAUUUUGGGGAUAUUUUGGAUGGAAUGUGGAUGUUUUGUUUGGUUUUUGUGGAAUAAAAGUUGAGUUUUCCGAUACUGGGCAGCUACCUGCUUGCCGUACCUUCCUGUUGGUGUGGAGUACCUCCCUAGGGUUGGGAACCAGAGGAUACCUUAUUUGGCUCUCCCCUCAUCAUCUUCACCGAAGGUUGGAAGAAGCAAUCCGCCUACUUUUUGUAGGGACAGGUUUUUAUAUAACUAAAUUUGCAUGUCAAUUUGUUUUAAUAAUAACUUCCAAUUUUACUAUUUUUUUUUCUCUUCGUAUCAAUAACUUUCAAAUCACUCUAAUAAUAAUAUACCCUCAUUGUUUUUUCUUAACCAUAAUUAACAUAAUAUUCAAUAUUUUUCAACAAUUUUUAUUAUAUUUCACCCUUAUUUAAUUUAUUUAAAAUAGCCUGGGAUUUAUAAACCAUAUGUAAGAUAAUGUGCACAGUAUCUAGGUCAUAUCCUAUUUAAUAAUAUUUAUUCCAGUUGUCGGAUGUUGUCACCUCCGAUUAGAUACGGUAUUGUCAACCAAUAUUGUAACCCUCAUUAAUAAUAAGUUGUUAAGGUAAAUACCUAUUCAUACUAAAUUCAUUACAUAUUUUUUUUUCUACUGUAAAACCUGCAUUAUCGACAGCAGUGUACUAGCCUAGUACGUCGGAUAAUUAGCUAGUGUAAAAAUUGUAUAUAGGGUAUAUAGGUUUUUUUUAUUAAAUGUGGUUGUACAUA
rnacentral:lncRNA from 1 species